rnacentral:rRNA from 1 species
UGGGGAAUAUUGCACAAUGGGCGAAAGCCUGAUGCAGCAACGCCGCGUGAGCGAUGAAGGCCCUCGGGUCGUAAAGCUCUGUCCUCAAGGAAGAUAAUGACGGGUACUUGAGGAGGAAGCCCCGGCUAACUACGUGCC